rnacentral:rRNA from 1 species
GACGAACGCUGGCGGCGUGCUUAAUACAUGCAAGUCGAGCGAGGUUACUGUUUUGGAUCCCUUCGGGGUGAAGAAGCUUUAACCUAGCGGCGGACGGGUGAGUAACGCGUGGGUAACCUACCCCAAAGUCCGGGAUAACAGCGGGAAACCGCUGCUAAUAACCGGAUGCCUUUACCUUGGGGCAUCUUGAGGUAAAGAAAGGUAACGCUUUGGGAUGGGCCCGCGUCCCAUUAGCUAGUUGGUGAGGUAACGGCUCACCAAGGCGACGAUGGGUAGCCGGCCUGAGAGGGUGGACGGCCACACUGGGACUGAGACACGGGCCCAGACUCCUACGGGAGGCAGCAGUAGGGAAUAUUGCGCAAUGGACGGAAGUCUGACGCAGCGACGCCGCGUGAGCGAUGAAGGUCUUCGGAUCGUAAAGCUCUGUCCUUGGGGAAGAAGGCGAAAGCUUGACGGUACCCAAGAAGAAAGCCCCGGCUAACUACGUGCCAGCAGCCGCGGUAAAUCACGUGUA